AGAAUAAACAAUUAUAUCGUCACUGAAUGAUUUUUUUCUGGUUUUGAUUGACAUUCCAAUGCUUUGCAUUAUGUUGUGUUAUUUAUUUUACCAUAUUCUUGCAAUUAUUUAGGUGAUUAUUAUGUUACGAUUUUACAUUAAAUGCUUUUUUUUAAUUUUCAAUUUGAUUGCUAAACGAUAUUUUCAAUUGAUUUAAUUUUAACCCAUAUUAUGUUGCUAAUACCAAUCAAUAAAAUUUAUAGUAUAAUGAUUCUCGUUUUCAAAGAAUAUUUUUAUAAAUUUGAUAUCAUUUUUGUCCUGUAAUUCGGGACAAUUUUGUAACUAAUUCGUAAUUAUGAUGUACAUAACUAAUUACAACGCAAAAACAUGAUUAUUUAACAUAAAAUAUAAAAAAAUAUAUCGGUAAUUGUUCUAAUACUAUUUAAAUGGCAUUAUGUAUUGGUAGAGAAUGUUUCCAGUUUUGGGUGGCUGCUUGGUUCAUAUGUCCUCAGAAAAAUAAGCUUAUUUCUAUGUUUCCUGUACGUCCCUAACAAUUUCUUUCCAUGCAUCGAUUCCAUCGAACACUUUCACAAUUUUACAUUCCUUAUCGAACGUUGCACACCCACACACAAAAAUGCGCUUUUUUCCAUUGCUCUCGGUCAAUAUUUGAGUUUCAAUUUCAUCCUCGGGCCCGCAUGUUUGGCUCGUGCGCUUCUACCAUUUCCGCUGCUGCACCCUGCUAGCAAACAAUCAACCGCUCGCUCGCUCGCUACCACGCUUCUCAUUUGUUCAAUAUUGACAGCCACAUCGGAACCCUUUCACUUUCCAAGCUCACCACACCUGAGCGUCCUUACUUUCGCUCGUCCUUCGUGGCUGCCCGGUGGGUGGGCUCAUUUUAACAGCAAGCUAAUAUUUAUUUUACAGCAAGCGUAAACAUAUGCCUUUGCCGCGCACAGCGGGCAACAACUGGCGAAUCUUAGCGACGAGCGAGCGAAGGACGAAAUGGACGCGCACGACGGACGAUCGGGAACCUCGACACGAAAAAGUUUGUUAGGCGUGAAAGUGCAAGAACCCGCGUUCCGCUGACCCUUUCCGUUACCGUACCGUACCGAUUCGAUUGAAUUCGGCCAGGAAAUGCCUUUCAGUGCCAACGUCAACAAGUGGCCACUUAUCGAGGUUUCAUGUUCAACGAUGCUUCGUGCAAUCGGGGAACAAGAAGCCGAAGAGCUUCUCGUGUGAGUGGUCGUUUGCUGUGGCGCCGUUGCGAUAUGCAAUCACCGUUCCAUCGAUAGACUUUCGAGCACUUGGAGCACAUUUCGUUACGUGACUAGGAACGUUUUGCAGCACCGUCACGGAAAUACACGAUGGAAUGGCUCUGUGUACGGCGGGGCGCCACGUCACCGAAGCAAGGUGCGAACCGGACCGUAAAUGGUGCGCCUGGCACAGCAAACUGUAGGCUUGGAGCGUUCGUGCCCAUUUCCUUGUGUCCUCGAUUUAAAAGCGUCGUCUAUUUUUGUUUUACCGGUUGCAAGUUUGUUUAGCUAGUGAGACUUUCUGUUCUUCCAGUCACGAACAAGCUUUCGAUGUUUUAGCUACGCCUCGAUAGGCAUCGCGGAUGGAACGACAUUAACUUAGACCAUACGAACGGGUUGACAGGAUAAUAGCUCAUCUGCAUAACAAAAA